GAUGAAGAACGCAGCGAAAUGCGACAACUAAUGUGAAUUGCAGAAUUCAGUGAAUCAUCGAGUCUUUGAACGCACAUUGCGCCCUCUGGUAUUCCGGAGGGCAUGCCUGUCCGAGCGUCAUUGCUGCCCUCAAGCCCGGCUUGUGUGCUGGGCCCCGUCCCCCCCGCCGGGGGGACGGGCCCGAAAGGCAGCGGCGGCACCGCGUCCGGUCCUCGAGCGUAUGGGGCUUCGUCACCCGCUCUAGUAGGCCCGGCCGGCGCCAGCCGACCCCCAACCUUUAAUUAUCUCAGGUUGACCUCGGAUCAGGUAGGGAUACCCGCUGAACUUAAGCAUAUCAAUAAGCGGAGGA
rnacentral:misc_RNA from 1 species